rnacentral:rRNA from 1 species
CCUACGGGUGGCUGCAGUGAGGAAUAUUGGUCAAUGGGCGGAAGCCUGAACCAGCCAAGUAGCGUGCGGGAUGAAGGCCCUACGGGUCGUAAACCGCUUUUGCACGGGGAUAACACCCUCCACUUGUGGAGGUCUGCAGGUACCGUGCGAAUAAGGGCCGGCUAAUUCCGUGCCAGCAGCCGCGGUAAUACGGAAGGCCCGAGCGUUAUCCGGAUUCAUUGGGCUUAAAGGGUGCGUAGGCGGGCGUUCAAGUUAGCGGUAAAAUCUCGAGGCUCAACCGCGCCCCGCAGUUGAUACUGGACGCCUUGAGUGCACAACAGGCAGGCGGAAUGCGUGGUGUAGCGGUGAAAUGCAUAGAGAUCA